rnacentral:rRNA from 1 species
GAUGAACGCUCGCGGCAGGCCUAACACAUGCAAGUCGAGGGAGAAGCCCUUUCGGGGGCAGACACCGGCGCACGGGUGCGUAACGCGUAUGCAACCUACCUUUCACAGGGGGAUAGCCCGAAGAAAUUUGGAUUAAUACCCCAUAAUAUUAUUGGAUGGCAUCAUGUGAUAAUUAAAACUGCGGUGGUGAAAGAUGGGCAUGCGUCCUAUUAGCUAGUUGGAGUGGUAACGGCACCCCAAGGCUACGAUAGGUAGGGGUCCUGAGAGGGCGAUCCCCCACACUGGUACUGAGACAGUGACCAUACUCCUACGGGAGGCAGCAGUGAGGAAUAUUGGUCAAUGGUCGGAAGACUGAACCAGCCAUGCCGCGUGCAGGAAGAAUGCCUUAUGGGUUGUAAACUGCUGUUAUAUGGGAAGAAUAAGGCGUACGUGUACGUUGAUGACGGUACCAUAUGAAUAAGCAUCGGCUAACUCCGUG